AUACGAAGGGUGCAAGCGUUACUCGGAAUUACUGGGCGUAAAGCGUGCGUAGGUGGUUGUUUAAGUCUGUCGUGAAAGCCCUGGGCUCAACCUGGGAAUGGCGAUGGAAACUGGGCGACUAGAGUGUGGCAGAGGGUAGUGGAAUUCCUGGUGUAGCAGUGAAAUGCGUAGAGAUCAGGAGGAACAUCCGUGGCGAAGGCGACUGCCUGGGCCAACACUGACGCUGAGGCACGAAAGCGUGGGGAGCAAACAGGAUUAGAUACCCUGGUAGUCCACGCCCUAAACGAUGCGAACUGGAUGUUGGGUGCAAUUUGGCACGCAGUAUCGAAGCUAACGCGUUAAGUUCGCCGCCUGGGGAGUACGGUCGCAAGACUGAAACUCAAAGGAAUUGACGGGG
rnacentral:rRNA from 1 species